GAAAGUUUUGCAGAAAGAAAUUGAGGAACUCAAGUGCAAUCUUGCGGAUAUUUCAUCCACUUCUGAUGACGGUUCUCAAAUGUUGAAGCAGGAUUAUCUUCAAAAGUUGAAUGCUCUAGAGGCACAGGUAUCUGAGUUGAAAAGGAAGCAAGAAGCUCAAGCUCAAGUCCUGAAACAAAAACAGAAAAGUGAAGAGUUUGCAAAAGGACUUCAGGAUGAGAUACACAGAAUUAAAGCACAAAAGGUUCAUCUUCAAAAUAAGAUUAAGCAGGAA
rnacentral:sRNA from 1 species